rnacentral:misc_RNA from 1 species
AAGUCGUAACAAGGUUUCCGUAGGUGAACCUGCGGAAGGAUCAUUACUGAGAGUACCGGGCUCUGCCUGGCUACUUUUACCCAUGUUUUAUAGUACCAAAAGUUUCCUCGGCGGCUCUGCCCGCCGGUCGGACUCCAUUCAAACCCUUUGUAGUUGCAGUCAGCGUCUGAUAAACAUAAUAAUUACAACUUUCAACAACGGAUCUCUUGGUUCUGGCAUCGAUGAAGAACGCAGCGAAAUGCGAUAAGUAGUGUGAAUUGCAGAAUUCAGUGAAUCAUCGAAUCUUUGAACGCACAUUGCACCUCUCGGUAUUCCGGGAGGUAUGCCUGUUCGAGCGUCAUUUGUACCCUCAAGCUCUGCUUGGUGUUGGGUGUUUGUUCCGCCUUUGCGUGUGAACUCGCCUUAAAACAAUUGGCAGCCGGCGUACUUGCUUCGGAGCGCAGCACAUUUUGCGUUCAGAUCAAUGUACUCUAGCAUCCAAGAAGCCUUAUUUAACGCUCUUGACCUCGGAUCAGGUAGGGAUACCCGCUGAACUUAA